UAGACCGACAUACCGCCGUUUGCUUUGUGGUUGAAGUCAACGAUGGAAUGCCAUCCUACUUCACUAAUAUCACGCGGUUUGCAUCUUUCCUGGGACCCUUCAAUGUGUUUUCGUCUUCACCUCCCUCACUGCAAUUCCAUCUGCAUCUGCAUCUGCAUCAUCGUCACUUGUCACUGUUAUUCGCCAUUCUCUUCCUCACAUUUCUCACAGCUCUGUUCUUUAAUUACAGCCUCCCAACUGUAUUCGUUUCAUUUGUUCAUGAAGGGAUAACUUUGAAUUCACUACUCGUUUCUCAGACUUCAUCUCUCCACUGCUUUGCAAUGGCUAUUUCUUCUUCUUCUUUUUGUUCUUCUUCUUCUUCUUUCGAACGGGGCUAUGAUGUGUUCCUGAGCUUUAGAGGAGAAGACACCCGCAAUAACUUCACUGCCCAUCUCUAUAAGGAGUUACGCACCAAAGGCAUCAACACUUUCAUCGAUGAUGACAAGCUUGAUAGAGGCCAAGUCAUAUCCCCUGCGCUUGUUGCGGCUAUUGAAAACUCCAUGUUUUCUAUCAUUGUUUUGUCAGAAAACUACGCAUCUUCUCGAUGGUGCUUGGAGGAGCUGGUGAAAAUACUAGAGUGCAAAGAAUCAAGGGGACAGAGGGUUCUCCCUAUUUUCUACAACGUGGAUCCCUCAGAUGUGAGAAAACACAUGGGAAAAUUUGGAGAAGCAUUGGCUAAACAUGAAGAGAAUUUCAAGGAGAAUAUGGGGAGGGUGCAGAUUUGGAGGGAUGCUCUCACUCAAGUUGCCAAUUUAUCCGGUUGGGAUUCACGGAAUAAGUUCUAGAAAAAUUAAAAUUCAUGAAUCUCAGUCACUCUAGAUAUCUACAAGAAACCCCUGAUUUCUCUGGGGUCAUCAACCUUGAACAGUUAGUUCUUGAAGGUUGUACAUCUUUGUGUGAGGUUCAUCCUUCUCUUGUAGUUCUGAACAAACUCAAUUUCCUGAGUUUGAAGAACUGCAUAAUGCUGAAGAGUCUUCCAAGCAACAUUUAUAAUCUAAAAUCUCUCGAAACCUUUGAUGUUUCUGGUUGCUCAGAUUGUGUGAACUUAAAAUGGCUAAAGGAGCUCUGUGCAGACAAAGGAACACCAUCUGCCUCACACUUGAUGCCAAGGAGUUCAAAUUCCAUUUGUUUCAUGUUGUCUCCUUUCCCAGUUUUGUGUUCCUUAACAAAACUAAACCUAACAAACUGCUUUAUAUCAGAUAGCGCACAUCUUGGUAAUCUUGGCUUCUUAUCUUCGCUGAAAUCCUUAAAUUUGAGCGGAAACCACUUUGUUACUUUGCCUUCGAGCAUCAACCAACUUUCUCAACUGAAAUGGCUGGGGUUGGAAAAUUGCAAAAGACUUAAAGCACUGCGGGAGCUUCCAUCAAGCAUAGAAGAGAUCAAUGCACAUAAUUGCACAUCAUUAACCACACUUAGCUCUGGCUUCAAACUGAAGGGGGGAUCCCUUGUUGCCCCCACUUGAGCCUGCUUCCCCAGAGCUAGAAACCAGUAGUCCAGAGUUGUUAAAAGCUGCAUUCAGCAUUGUUAUUCCUGGGAGAAGAAUACCAGAUUGGAUCGGGGUAGUGAAAUAGAAUUAGAGCUACCUCCAAGUUGGUUUAAUUCCAAUGUCCUGGCUUUUGCUUUUUCUGUAGUCUAUAGUUUCCCACUUCCGCUCAGUCACAGGAGUAGUGGUUGGGUUAGUGCAGACUGCAACUUCUAUUCCCAUCACAGUUCUUGGCACUAUGCUGUCUAUCCUCAGACUACUAAGGGGAGGAUUGGUUGGAGUCAGAUCAUUUGUGGCUGCUUUGUGUACAAUUUCCCUCUUCUAUCAAUUUUGAUGAAGUGAUUCGAAUUAAGGCUUCAUUUGACAUUUUACUCCGAAUAGGAGUUUGUGCAAUUAAGAAGUGUGGGAUUGUUCUAGUGUACAGGAAUGAAGAGGUGAAUGGCAACAAUAUAACAAUGAUCCAAUACAUCUCUCCUCCUAAUUCAACUCUUCUCCUUGAAGAAAUCCAUGAGGGGGAUUCCAGUGGAAGUGGGUGGUCUUAUGAUGGCUCAGAAUCAGAGAAUUCUGAUUACUAUAAUUCUUGUGAUGGGGAAACCAGUGAAAGUGGGUGGUGUAGUGAUGACUCAGAAUCAGAGAUGCAGCCAGAGAAACGCUUGAAAUGGAGCUCUAAUCAGGACAAUGAGGAUUGAAGUGGUGAAUGACAAUAAUCUAACACUAACCUAAUUCAACUUUUAUCUGUCCUCACAAUUCAACUCUCCUCCUUGAAGUCCUAACACAUUUGGAGGACCCACAUAUACAAUGAUAGAGAUUUGCUAACUGCUCAAACUGAAUCGAUGCAGCAAAAUAGUGGAUGCUACAGUAAUACAAUCAAGUCGAUAUGAUGAAAUCUUCAUUCCCUGAAGCCAGUUACUUCAUCAUAUUUGUUAACCUGCUGGUCACUUGUCGUUGGAGGAUGAACCUGGCGACAGUUGUAAUACAUGUCUUUAACCUGAAGCCUCAUUGAAUAUAGAUGGCAUACCUGACCAAGUAACCAAACAGAAGGAGCAAAUUCAUUCAAGAAUGGCAUUAGCGUCUCCAUCCUUUAUUCUGUUGGUAUCCAUUGUGAAUCUCUCAACUUUGUGGCGGAGUAGCUGCCACAACUUCAUAUGGACUAAACCUAUGGUAUGUACAUUGGCUAGGAUUUUCAGUAGGAAUAGGUACCAUGACACAGUUGCUUGGCCUGACAUAAUUCAAACCAAGCUGUGUUUGAGCUUGAAUUUGUGUUGGUUUUGGUUAAAGUUCUUAGCUUAGAUGUUGUAUGGCUUGAUUUGCAAAAAAUAGCCUGAUAUAUAAUUAUAUGUGCACAAACAUCCUAUGAAUACUCAUACAUUUGUGCUGCACGUUGGAUUCAUUAAUUUAGUAUGAACUACAUAGCUUCUAAAAAGGCUUUUAACCCUGUUCAACCAUCCAUGUCCUUUUUGAAGAUCUCAACCAAUCAGUCUGAGAAGAUACCAUAUUCCAGAGAAGGCUUGAUGACUUCUACCAUGGAUAACCCAGCAUAAGUUGUUUCUCUGGUAAUGACUCAGACGCUUGCAACCUUGAGAUGUAGCCUAAGUUUACGAUCUCUAACUGUUUCAAUGCUGCAUACUGGGUUUCUUCAUUCUGGUCAUGACUGAAGCCGUAACACAUUCAAAGGACCCACUGAUACCAUGAUAGACCUAAAGGGAAUGCAAAUCCAUUCAAGAAUGACACUAUCUUCUUGGUUCCUGUUCAUUUAUACCAUUUGGUUUCUGGGGAUGUCAUUAUUUUUCUUACUUAAUGAUAUGUUGUUUGUUUCUUAUUGUAAGUGUUUAGCUAGGUUGACAAUUUUGGACAAAAUUCCUAAAUGUCUCCUAACUCAAUUUUUCCAAUCCUUCUUCAAACUACUUGCCUAAUGAAGAUCAAGUUAUUGAAUUUGUUAAGAAACCAAAGUAUGUAGUUAAGGUUGGAGUUGGAUGGAAUUGAAUCAAGCAUAUUAUUUAAAUGUUGUUUUUCUUAAAAUAUUUUUGGAGUUAAGAAGGCUUGGGAAACUUUUUUUUUUUACUAAGUGUUCAAAAUACCCUGUUCCAGGAUUGAUCCAACUUCAGGUCAGAUCGAUCCAAGUUGCACUUUCUUGAUGAAAUCUCAUUUGUUGGAUUAAGGGCUUCCUUCAUUUAAAAACCUAAAAUUGUUUCUUGUGCUGUAGAGAAAGACACAACAACAACCAUCCCUUUUGGUUCUCUUCUCCUUUCCUAAUUUAGGAUGUUUGGUUGCCAAGAAAAUCCAACUUUCCUAUUGUUUUCCAAACUGUUUUCAAUGAAUUUUCUUGAGAAAAAGAUGGGUUGAUUCUUCAUUCGUUAAUCUCUCAAUUUCGAAACUAUUGGGUUUGGGUAAAAACCCAUUUUCUACUUGUGUAGAUUCAAGAAGAGGCCAAGAUCAAGCUUGGUGUGGACUACAAGUGUGCUCCGAAAGAUGAAGGUGAGAAGCUGAAAUUGAAAGGUGUCAGUCAAGUGGCUCAGGAAGGAUUGGUAGACUUGAGCUAGAAUAAUUUAGACUUGAGACUUGGUCUCUCUGCUGCUCAGUAAUGGCUGCUGCUGCUGCUUCUUCUUCUCAAAGAUGCUCUGAUGUGUUCCUGAGCUUCAGAGGAGAAGACACCCGCAAUAACUUCACUGCUUACCUCGACCAGGAGUUACGAACCCAACGAAUUGACUGUUUCAUUGAUGAGGAGAAGAUUGAGAGGGACAAAGCCAUAUCUCCUGCACUUGUUGCUGCUACUGAAAACUCCAUGUUUUCAAUCAUUGUUUUGUCAGAAGAUUAUGCACAUCUUCCAGGUGGUGCUUGGAGGAGCUGAUGAAGAUACUGGAGUGCAAACCCAAUUUUCUACAAUGUGGAUCCCUCAGAUGUCAGAAAUCAUAGAGGAAAAUUGGAGAAGCACUGGCUAAACAUGAAGAGAAUUUCAAGGAGAAUAUGGAGAGGGUGCAGAUUUGGAGAGAUGCUCUCACUCAAGUUGCCAGUUUAUCUGGUUGGGAUUCAAGAAAUAAGUAAUUAUGUAAAGCUUUUUACAUUCUGAGUUUUUAUUUCUGAUUUUAAACAUUGUCAAUUUAAAUACUCUUACUGAUUUAUCUAUUUUUUUCUUAUGACACAAAUGGUAUAACAAUAGUGGUUAUGUUUACUUCACGGGAUAUGGUAUGAAAUAG